rnacentral:rRNA from 2 species
CUCAGGACGAACGCUGGCGGCGUGCCUAAUACAUGCAAGUCGAGCGAAUCGAUGGGAGCUUGCUCCCUGAGAUUAGCGGCGGACGGGUGAGUAACACGUGGGCAACCUGCCUAUAAGACUGGGAUAACUUCGGGAAACCGGAGCUAAUACCGGAUACGUUCUUUUCUCGCAUGAGAGAAGAUGGAAAGACGGUUUACGCUGUCACUUAUAGAUGGGCCCGCGGCGCAUUAGCUAGUUGGUGAGGUAAUGGCUCACCAAGGCGACGAUGCGUAGCCGACCUGAGAGGGUGAUCGGCCACACUGGGACUGAGACACGGCCCAGACUCCUACGGGAGGCAGCAGUAGGGAAUCUUCCGCAAUGGACGAAAGUCUGACGGAGCAACGCCGCGUGAACGAAGAAGGCCUUCGGGUCGUAAAGUUCUGUUGUUAGGGAAGAACAAGUACCAGAGUAACUGCUGGUACCUUGACGGUACCUAACCAGAAAGCCACGGCUAACUACGUGC